UACAGAGGUCUCAAGCGUUGUUCGGAUUCAUUGGGCGUAAAGGGUGCGUAGGCGGCGCGGUAAGUCGGGUGUGAAAUCUCGGAGCUUAACUCCGAAACUGCAUUCGAUACUGCCGUGCUUGAGGACUGGAGAGGAGACUGGAAUUUACGGUGUAGCAGUGAAAUGCGUAGAUAUCGUAAGGAAGACCAGUGGACGAAGGCGGGUCUCUGGACAGUUCCUGACGCUGAGGCACGAAGGCCAGGGGAGCAAACGGG
rnacentral:rRNA from 1 species